UGGACAUUGAACAUUCUCACCACUCAUGCAAUAUCGCUGAGAACGUGCAAACAGGAGAAAACUAUUCACACCAAUUACAAAACUAGAAUUAAUACCCCCUCUGCCAUCCAACCCCUCGUACAUCCAAGCACGCUCUAAAUAAUCUAUAUUCCCAUUUAAUGUAGAAACAAAACAGGAUAAUCAAACUUUUUUUUUUCUAUGAGUAAGAUAAUAAGAAUGUUCUAAAGGGAAGUACUGAUUGAGAUAAUUUUCCUAGCUAAACCAAUAUUUGAAAUGCCUAAAAUCCAAACAAAAUAGUACAAGUUAUUCACAUUUUUUAUUGAAAGAAAUGAUAAGCUAUGCAAUGACAGAUAUAUAAUUCAUGAUAAACACCAAACUAAGAUAUGCAAGUAUCUGAGACCUAUUGAGCUGAACAAAAAAAGCCCAAAAAUUCAUCUGUUCAAACACCCAUUUGAAGUCACUAAUCAACAAUCAUUAUAAAAAGAUUUGCUGUCAAAUAGAACUCUAGAUAGAGAUAGAGAAACACAUACACACAGAGAAAGAGAGGGAGAGAUAGAAAAAGUAGAGAGAAUUUACCUAAACUUGAUUUAGCUAUCCGGACAAGCGGUGAAGAUGUUAAUUAAGAAGAAACGGAGCUUAACAUAUCAUCAAAAGCGGUGAAAGCACCCUAUGAAACAAAAAAUAUAAAUUAAAUUUUUAAUAUAAAAUAUGUCUAAAGCAAUGUGAAGAAUCUUUUUGUAGAUCUGGACAAAAAAUUAAGAAGACAAGCAGGAGAAGAGUAAUUGAACUACCAAAGGAAUCUACCAAAAAAAUCUCCAAACGUUUACAAUCCAAAGGUGUCAAAAUCACUAUAGCAAGUACAAAAUCCUUCUUAAAGACGAUGCAAGAAUCGUCAGACAAGCAAACAGAAGAUGGCGUUCAAUAGAGCCAUUUCUGUGUCAAAAUUGACAAAAUCCUGUGGCCAGAACAAUAGAAGAUUGACAAAAUCCUGUGUCAAUCGAGGCCAUUUCUGAUGGCUAUGAAGAUGGUGGCCUCGGAAGGCAAACAGCUUCGCAACACACACAACAAGAUUCAAACAAGUUGGCUCUAACAAAUCGGUGGCUUAACUUUUUUGGUACGCAAAAUUAGGACAAAGCAUAAGAAACAGAAGAAGAAAUAAAGCCAUCUACAAAAACCUUAGAUUCACGUUGCCUACUGCUUUUUCUUUUGUUCUUGAAAAUCCUAUCGUGUGUCUUCUACUGAUUUUGCUCCCAGCCGAUUUUGCUCUCUCGUGUGUUUCUAUUGUUUUAGAAGACACUGAUAUUUUACCAAAUUUGUUCCUUAGGGGAAAUAAUUAAGUGGUUCUCAACGACGGAUUUAGCUACGAAUAAAGUUCCGUCCCUAAAAAUAACAUUAUUUUUUAUUAAAAAUACAUUAUCGACGAAAAUUUCCAUAGCACGGAAUAUUAAAAUAUUUUGAUAAAAAAAUUAAUGCUAGCGAAGGAUUUUCC
rnacentral:lncRNA from 1 species